rnacentral:RNase_P_RNA from 1 species
GCAGCAGGCCGGUCUGCCGCCCGUUUCGUGACUGGGACGGGAGGAAAGUCCGGGCAACACAGGGCGCCAUCCUUCCUAACGGGAAGCUGUUCGCGAGGGCAGAGUAGUGUAACAGAAAAUAACCGCCGCGUCCGCGUGUCGCGGUAAGGGUGAAAAGGCGAGGUAAAAGCUCACCGUUCGCAUGGCAACAUGCGAAGCCGUACGCCUGAUGGGUUGCAAGGUCAUGUAUACCGGCGAAUAAGGGUUGCCCGCCCGAUGCCGGGGGGUAGACCGCAGGAGCUUGCCGGCGACGACAAGCCGAGAUGAAUGGCAGACGCUUCUCCGCCUGCAAAGGCGCGAGUGGUACAGAACCCGGCUUACAGGCCGGCUGCAUUU